rnacentral:lncRNA from 1 species
UUCAGAGCAGCCUUGGCUGAGUGAGGAAGAAGACUCUCUCUCAAUGCGGCUUCAAUGUGAGGUGGUUGAGGAGAAGCUGAUCAACCCACUCAGUCAUCCAACAAGUUGGUGUUGCCAUGAAGAGGUUGCAAUGGCCAAGAAAGAAGGGGCUGCAAGGACUACAUUCAAGAGACAUCAACCGGAGCUAUUCUAGGCUGUGUGUGUAUGAAGGCUAAUGUUCAAGGCGGUCUCUAAAGUGAGAUGGUUGAACAUGAAGCUGAAGGAUCCACAUAGUCUUCCAACAAGUUGAUGUGUCCGUAGAGGUUGCAAGCGUAUGCCGAGUGUGUGAGGGAUUCAAGUGGCUUUCCAAAUCAACCACUCCUCACCAAAACAAAAGGGAAGUAUCCUAAGCUCAAUUCAAUUCAAUUCAUUCAUUAUUUCAUUGUUUAAGCUUGAAAUGAUACUUAAAAUGAUUGCUUGAAUUGUGUGAUGUGUCUUGAUA